rnacentral:lncRNA from 1 species
AACCUUUGUUCCGAGUCAUUGUGUUGCAACACCAACUAAUCAUUUCGCCGCAAGUAAAGAGAUUCCAUCCACCAUCUUCAUUGGCCUCCGUUACCAAAUUGCUGCAAAACAAAAUCUACCUCUAGGCUUUUUUUUUUUUGGGUCUCCGAGCAAAGAGAUUCAGUUGUCAGUCCUCCACAUAUUUUGUCUAAUUACUGAGAAUCAUAACUCAAUAAAUCAUCGUAGUGAAGUACUUAACUUUCAGAACAAUGGCAAAACAUCAAAUUCAUUAGGUAAAUGAAUCUUACAACAAAGAGAAGACGCAGCCAUCUACCAAAAAAAAAAGAAGAGAGAGAGAGAAGACGCAACCCGUGGAAAAGAAGAGGAAAUAUCAUUCUUUCCACCUUAUCAGGAAAAGAGAAAAAGGUCCGAGUAGGACUCUGGUCGCUGGCUGCUAAGUGGAAUUUGAUCCCACUUGAUAGUUAGUCCCCAUGUACAUGUUGAAAAGGUCCCCCUCCCCCUGGAUUCAUGCAAUAAAUAAGAAAAUUGGUUUCUCUUCGAUUAUAAAAGGACCAUGGUGAACGUGGGAAGUGUUCCGGACUUGGGACGUGUGGGAGAAAAAGAGAAAAGAAGAAGGAGAAGAGAAAAAGAGCAAGAGAGAGAAAGGAGGAGGGACAAGGGGUAUUUUUUUCACGGGUUUUAUCUUGGUCUCCAUAUCUGAGCGUUCCCUACAUUGACUUCUCCGGAUAUACCCUACAAGAAGCGCAUACUUUGAAUAAU